rnacentral:lncRNA from 1 species
CAGGGUCCUUUAAAUAGUGUCAGACGCAUCCCAAAGUGCGGCCCGGUCCAAAAGAAUAAAAUCAGAGCAGAAUUAGGACCCGAUCCACGUGAAAUCACGCUCAAGCGUCGCAGGGAGCUCGCCCAAGCGUGAUCAAACCUGUAGCACCUGAUUUCAACUUUCAAUUUUGUAUGCCUUUCCCCUCUCAUAUGCAACAUUCAAAUCAUGCACUAGAGCAGAGUUAAAAACAAGAAAAUAAUGACCUGGGUUGCCUCCCAGGUAGCGC